rnacentral:tRNA from 1 species
GUGGGUGUUGCUCAGUGGUAGAGCCUGUGCUUAGUUUGCAUGAGGCCCUGGGUUCGAUCCACAGCACUGGUA